rnacentral:rRNA from 1 species
UACUGUAAGGAUAAGCACCGGCUAAUUCCGUGCCAGCAGCCGCGGUAAUACGGAAGGUGCAAGCGUUAUCCGGUUUUAUUGGGUUUAAAGGGUGCGUAGGCGGCUUAUUAAGUCAGUUGUGAAAUCCUAGUGCUUAACGCUAGAACUGCAAUUGAUACUAUUAGGCUUGAGUUAAGAAUAGGUAAGUAGAAUUUAUGGUGUAGUAGUGAAAUGCUUAGAUAUCAUAAGGAAUACCAAUAGCGUAGGCAGCUUACUGGUCUUUAACUGACGCUGAGGCACGAAAGCGUGGGGAGCAAACAGGAUUAGAUACCCUGGUAGUCCACGCCGUAAACGAUGAUCACUCGGUAUACAUAAAUUUAUGUGUGUCUAAGCGAAAGCGUUAGUUGAUCCACA